AUAGGUAUACAAAUCACAUACGAAAUCAAUAUUUUUGAACAGAUCACAGAACAAAUGAAAUCAUCCAAAAAACAGUAAAUUAGUCUAUUACAAUGUUUACACUACUACAACUCAAAUAUGCCUACUACAGCCUACUAUCACAAUACAUGAUAUGCUACUCUUUGCAUAUAGGCUUCACGACUUCACGAUUGGCUUCACAUUUCACCUAUGCAAAAAAUAAGAACAAAAUAGUAGCCAAUGAGGGAACAAAAUAGUAUAAUAUGUACAGGUUCAAUGACAAAUCAAGAGAAGAAUAAAACGAGCAUGCCCUCCAACAAAACAAGAGAAGAAUAAAAGCCACUAACACAGGUUCAAUGACAAAUCAAAUUAUAAAGUCAAUCUAAGGAACUAGACCAGAUCCCACACGACCACUGUAAGAACUUGAUGGCCCUAACAUAAAGAGGAACCACAAAACAAACAAAAGAAAAUAAGCCUCCUGCUUUGACUUUCUAUCUAUCAUGAUUCCAGUAGAAGUUGAUAGCAGCAUCUGGCUUUCGUACAUUGCCAGUACGUGUGCAUGUGGAGCAUUUGUCACGACUUACAUAAUGGUUAAACUGGUUUAUUAAAACGAGACUAAUCAAGUGCGAAAUGUGAGGAUUCAAGAUGGGCGACUGACACAACAAUGGACAUACAGACCUAUAUACAACAAUGGACAUACUUUCUGCCGCUACUGCACUAAGACACAGGUUGAGUGCACAAGAAAAAUCUAGGAAAUGCGGACAUUAUGAGUCAUGUAGCUUGACUGAAGAUAUAGAACAAACUGGAAGCAAUAGGACAGAGGUCGAGUGCACAAAAAAAUUCUAGGAAAUGCGGACAUUAUGAAUCAUGUAGCUUGACUGAAGUUAGGCCAAACAAAGCCAGUUAUACAUGCUAACAACAAAAAAUGCCAACAGAGUUUGAGAAUCGUUCAAUCCUGUAGCUUAACCUGGCAAACGUCAUAGUCGUAAAACAAUCUGGCAAACAUAAAUGAAACUUUUACUCUUUUAGCAAGCCUCACAAAAUACAAUAGCUUGAAUCGGACCUCAUGUCCAGGUCACAGCUGGUGAUGGAGGUGGGAGGAGGGGAGGCGGCCCUGGACGCCGCAGCUAGUGGUGGAGAGUAGAGCAGGAGAUGGUGGAGAGUAUAGGAGGAGGCUUGUGGAGGCUGCAC
rnacentral:lncRNA from 1 species